rnacentral:lncRNA from 1 species
UCUCCUCGCUAGCUUCACCAGCGAGUUCUUGGAGUACAUGGAGAUCAAGGAGUUGCUCACCAGUGCGCACUGGAAACUCCCUGAUCUGAUGACAUGUCCAUGUAUCACCUUGCCUUGCUUGACAGCCUCGAGUCUCCCGCAGGCAUGCAGAGCUUUGGCCACUGUGACUUCAUCAGCUUCCAGGCCAACGAGCUGCAUCAUUCGGAACAAGUCGAGUGCUUCGAUCCAUUUCCCUCUCUCCACAUUGAGCACAAUGAAGUUGUUCCACAAAAUCGAAUCCUCGGUAAACGACGACUCUUCAAACAAUCUAUCGGCGGAUUCUGAGCUGCAACAACGGGCGUAGAAAUCCAGCAGAGAGCACCUGAUGUAAGUUUCAUUCGCCAGGCCUGCUUUGGUAACAUGCGCAUGAAUCUGAGAACCCAACCAGAAAUCUACUAACUCCGCACAGUUCCUUAAAGCUCUGCGGAAAAUGCCUACGCUGAGCGUGAUUCCUAUCCUAUGCAGCUCCCGGAAAAUCUCGAGCAACUCGCGGGUACUUCUUUCUCCGGCGCCGUCGAAAGAAUCGAUCAGAUAGCUCCACGAAAGAGUGUCAGAUUGCAAGGCAAUAAAGAAAACUGCGGCAGCCGAUCGGAAAUCUCCAAACUUCGAGUAGACUUGAAUGAGGAAGUCCAUCGCGGACUUCGAGCUCCGCGGCUCUGCGGCCUUUACAAUCCGGGCAUGGACUUGCUUGACUGAGACCAGAGAUGUGGAGUAGAUGGGAUCGUCUAAAGCGAGUGAGGGGGAAGGGAACGUGAGGACAGCAGGGGAAGUCUCGACGGCGGCGGGUGAGGGUUGAAGUAGGGCUUGCGGGACGGGAGAGCUCGUUCUUCUCCAUCUCUUUCUCAGGUCGGCGGAACGCUUGCAAGGGGAAGAGGGUCUAAAGCUGCGAGAGGAGAGGGUUUGCUCCAUGAGAGGACACAGAAGUGAACAGUAACGGGUUCAGGAAGAGCAGGGAGGAGGAGGGAGGAGGAGACUGAGCGCAGUGGUAGAGGAAGACCCGAGCUUUUCACCAUGGCCAGCCAUGACUGUGUAGAACAAAUGGAUAAGGUCGGGGAGUCUGGAGCAGCCAGUUACUGGUAGAUGAUCCCUCCAGGCUUUUCAAUAGAUUUGGUACCGUGGUCAACAACGAGGAUGUGGAAAAGGGUCUGCUUCCCAAUUUGUUUCAGCUACAUGAAUCGCUUACAUCAUCAUUAAUCAAGGUAAUAUU